UACUGCAUGUUUGAAGAAUCACAAAAAGCUUAACUGAAAGGGAGUAGAAAAUGAAAAGUCUUUGAAUUUCCAAACUUCUGCAAGGAGGAAGCAGCUGCAAAUACAUAUUUCUUUUUGUGAAGAAGAAUAGCUAACAGUAAGGAAACAAGAUCCCAGAGUGUGGAGCCCAGAACCAUGGUAAGUCAUCCGUAAGCAGGAUGUGAACUGAGUCCUGAUCAAGGAACUUUCAACAUGUGCCUGGAUGGAUUUCAGAACGGCUGUGGGUCACUUGUUCUGGGGAUGUCAGCAGUCAUGUCAUGAGCAGCAUAACAGAAAGAUCCAUGUGUUGAAGAAUUAAGGCCUCUAAUCAACCACCAGUGAGAAACUGAGGGCUACUAUCAACAGCCACAUGAAUGUACUUGGAAAUGGAUCCUUCAGUGUCAGUCAAGCUUUCUGCAGACUUCAGACUAAAUCUUGACUACAACCUCCUGAAAAACCCUGAGUCAGAACCAUCCAGUUAAACCACAACCUAUUCCUGAGUCUCAGGAACUGUAUAAUAAAAUAAAUCUUUCUCGUUUUAAACUGUCAA